ACCUGAUCCAGCCAUGCCGCGUGAGUGAAGAAGGCCUUCGGGUUGUAAAGCUCUUUCAGCCGGAACGAAACGGUCACGGCUAAUACCUGUGAUUACUGACGGUACCGGAAGAAGAAGCACCGGCUAACUACGUGCCAGCAGCCGCGGUAAA
rnacentral:rRNA from 1 species